UCGAAGAAACGAGUGCCAGCCUCCGCGGAAACUCCAGCUCCGAUAGCUUGUAUUCA
rnacentral:rRNA from 18 species